AGAGAGAGACAUGCGCGCAUAUCAAUAAGCGGAGGAAAAGAAACUAACAAGGAUUCCCUUAGUAACGGCGAGUGAAGCGGGAAGAGCUCAAAUUUGAAAUCUUCAAGGUUUUACCUUGACGAAUUGUAGUUUAAAGAAGUGUUUUCUGCUGAAGUUUUGGUAAAAGUUCUUUGGAAUAGGACAUCAUAGAGGGUGAGAAUCCCGUAUUUGACCAUUAUUUUCAGCUUUGUGAUACACUUUCAAAGAGUCGGAUUGUUUGGGAAUGCAGUCCAAAAUGGGUGGUAAAUUUCAUCUAAAGCUAAAUAUUGGCGAGAGACCGAUAGCGAACAAGUACCGUGAGGGAAAGAUGAAAAGAACUUUGAAAAGAGAGUUAAACAGUACGUGAAAUUGUCAAAAGGGAAGCGUUUGACACCAGUGUUGUUUUCUCGAAAAUCAAUUAAAAAUGGCUCGAUUUUGUAUUGCUUGAGACCUUAAAAGCUCACUGUACAUUUUUCGUGUCUUUUUUAAUGCACUUUUCGUUUAACAAGUCAACAUCAGUUUCUUUUGUUGUAAAAGGGUCAUUGGAAGGGUGGACUUUCUUUUCGGAGAAAGUGUUUAUAGCCUUUGGCCUCUGCAAUCGGAGAGACUGAGGUCUGCAGCGUAGACUCUUCGGGGUUAGGUACAUUUGUGCUAAGUUAUAGCUUUUUAUAGACAACUUGUUGACUAUAAUUAGUCUUGUAGCUUACUCGCUUAUGCUAUUUUACCUACGCUUAGGAUGUUGAAGAUGUAGCACAUCAU
rnacentral:rRNA from 1 species